rnacentral:lncRNA from 1 species
AGGAUUUCUUGGAAAUGGAAUCUUAACUAGGGAUAAAGUCAAUGUCCUGUUACUUCAAGCACAGCAUCCUGAACCUCCUAAAGUACAGUGCAGUGAUACCAGGCUAACACUGUGCCUUGGAGUGUCUCACCGAGACUUCACAGAACUGAUAUCCUUGAGUUCUGUAUUCUAGAAAGCUUCUCUAAGGAUUUAUCUUUUACAGUUCCCAAGGAUAAAUUAGUUGCUUUCUAUUCUUUGAACUAUUAAUAUUAAGCCUCUGAAAUGCCUAUGCUAUUGGAAGUACUUUUGGGAAAAUUUUAUGGUCCCAUAGUGACAUUACCAUACAGCUUUACUGAAGCUCCAAAUCAUAGCUGAAAAGAACCUCAUAUUUUCUUAUGUCCCUCAAGAUGCCACUGAGUAUUAUAAAGUUGGUAGGUAAAGACAAUUUAAGGAGCCUUUCCAACAUUUUAGGUUGCAGGGAACUUUGUAGUUUCUUUUUUGAGGUCUAACACUGUAUUCACAUUAUUAAAACAUAAUUUAAGUUAAUCACUUGCUAAUGAUAUAUAAAACUUUCUUUUGCAUUAAGUUUUAAAUCUCCAUUAAAAGCAUAAUGGACA